UGCAGUUGAGCGCUGAAGACUGGUACUUGUACCGGUUGGAUGAGCAGCCAUUUGGUGAGUAACGCGUGGGUAACCUGCCCUAUAGAGGGGGAUAACUAGAGGAAACUUUAGCUAAUACCGCAUAAAAUCUAAUAACACAUGUUAUAAGAUUGAAAGUGCCAACUGGUACACUAUAGGAUGGACCCGCGUUGUAUUAGCUAGUUGGUGAGGUAAAGGCUCACCAAGGCGAUGAUACAUAGCCGACCUGAGAGGGUGAUCGGCCACACUGGGACUGAGACACGGCCCAGACUCCUACGGGAGGCAGCAGUAGGGAAUCUUCGGCAAUGGACGAAAGUCUGACCGAGCAACGCCGCGUGAGUGAAGAAGGUUUUCGGAUCGUAAAACUCUGUUGUAAGAGAAGAACACCAGUAAGAGUGGAAAGCUUACUGGCUGAUGGUAUCUUACCAGAAAGCCACGGCUAACUACGUGCCAGCAGCCGCGGUAAUACGUAGGUGGCAAGCGUUGUCCGGAUUUAUUGGGCGUAAAGCGAGCGCAGGCGGUUCAUUAAGUCUGAUGUAAAAGGCAGUGGCUCAACCAUUGUAAGCAUUGGAAACUGGUGAACUUGAGUGCAGUAGAGGAGAGUGGAAUUCCAUGUGU
rnacentral:rRNA from 1 species